UUUUUUCAUUCUUCUUUUGA
rnacentral:sRNA from 1 species